rnacentral:tRNA from 3 species
UUCAAAUCCGGGUGCCGCCU